rnacentral:rRNA from 1 species
GAGUUUGAUCCUGGCUCAGGAUGAACGCUGGCGGCGUGCCUAAUACAUGCAAGUCGAGCGAACAGAUAAGGAGCUUGCUCCUUUGACGUUAGCGGCGGACGGGUGAGUAACACGUGGGUAACCUACCUAUAAGACUGGAAUAACUCCGGGAAACCGGGGCUAAUGCCGGAUAAUAUUUAGAACCGCAUGGUUCUAAAGUGAAAGAUGGUUUUGCUAUCACUUAUAGAUGGACCCGCGCCGUAUUAGCUAGUUGGUGGGGUAAUGGCUUACCAAGGCAACGAUACGUAGCCGACCUGAGAGGGUGAUCGGCCACACUGGAACUGAGACACGGUCCAGACUCCUACGGGAGGCAGCAGUAGGGAAUCUUCCGCAAUGGGCGAAAGCCUGACGGAGCAACGCCGCGUGAGUGAUGAAGGUCUCCGGAUCGUAAAACUCUGUUAUUAGGGAAGAACAAAUGUGUAAGUAACUGUGCACGUCUUGACGGUACCUAAUCAGAAAGCCACGGCUAACUACGUGCCAGCAGCCGCGGU